rnacentral:misc_RNA from 1 species
GAUGAAGAACGUAGCGAAAUGCGAUAAGUAAUGUGAAUUGCAGAAUUCAGUGAAUCAUCGAAUCUUUGAACGCACCUUGCGCUCUUUGGUAUUCCGAAGAGCAUGCCUGUUUGAGUGUCAUGAAAAUAUCAACCUUGACUUGGGUUUUGUGCUCUAGUCUCGGCUCGGAAUUGGGUGCUUGCCGCUUUUACGAGCGGCUCACCUUAAAUGUAUUAGCUGGAUCUGUCUUUGAGACUUGGUUUGACUUGGCGUAAUAAGUAUUUCGCUAAGGACAUUCUUCGGAGUGGCCUCGUUUCUAGGACGCUUGUCCGCUUUCCAAUACAAGUUCCACCUCGUGGACAUGACUUUUUAUUAUCUGGCCUCAAAUCAGGUAGGACUUCCCGCUGAACUUAAGCAUAUCAAUAAGCGGAGGA